rnacentral:rRNA from 1 species
CUACGGGCUGCUGCAGUGGGGAAUAUUGCUCAAUGGGCGCAAGCCUGAUGCAGCCAUGCCGCGUGUAUGAAGAAGGCCUUCGGGUUGUAAAGUACUUUCAGCGGGGAGGAAGGGAGUAAAGUUAAUACCUUUGCUCAUUGACGUUACCCGCAGAAGAAGCACCGGCUAACUCCGUGCCAGCAGCCGCGGUAAUACGGAGGGUGCAAGCGUUAAUCGGAAUUACUGGGCGUAAAGCGCACGCAGGCGGUUUGUUAAGUCAGAUGUGAAAUCCCCGGGCGCAACCUGGGAACUGCAUCUGAUACUGGCAAGCUUGAGUCUCGUAGAGGGGGGUAGAAUUCCAGGUGUAGCGGUGAAAUGCGUAGAGAUCUGGAGGAAUACCGGUGGCGAAGGCGGCCCCCUGGACGAAGACUGACGCUCAGGUGCGAAAGCGUGGGGAGCAAACAGGAUUAGAUACCCCAGUAGUC